rnacentral:rRNA from 1 species
CCUACGGGUGGCAGCAGUGAGGAAUGUUGGUCAAUGGCCGAGAGGCUGAACCAGCCAAGUCGCGUGAGGGAUGACGGCCCUACGGGUUGUAAACCUCUUUUGUCGGGGAGCCAAGAGAGUCACGUGUGGCUCAUUGAGAGUACCCGAAGAAAAAGCAUCGGCUAACUCCGUGCCAGCAGCCGCGGUAAUACGGAGGAUGCGAGCGUUAUCCGGAUUUAUUGGGGUUAAAGGGUGCGCAGGCGGAGGUGCAAGUCAGUGGUCAAAUUUCGGGGCUCAACCCCGUCGUGCCGUUGAAACUGGCGUUCUUGAGUGAGCGAGAAGUAUGCGGAAUGCGUGGUGUAGCGGUGAAAUGCAUAGAUAUCACGCAGAACUCCGAUUGCGAAGGCAGCAUACCGGCGCUCAACUGACGCUCAUGCACGAAAGCGUGGGUAUCGAACAGGAUUAGAUACCCUUGUAGUC